UACGUAGGUGGCAAGCGUUGUCCGGAUUUACUGGGCGUAAAGAAUGCGUAGGCGGAUAUCUAAGUCAGAUGUGAAAUACCCGGGCUCAACUUGGGUGCUGCAUUUGAAACUGGAUGUCUAGAGUGCGGGAGAGGAAAGUGGAAUUCCUAGUGUAGCGGUGAAAUGCGUAGAGAUUAGGAAGAACACCAGUGGCGAAGGCGACUUUCUGGACCGUAACUGACGGCUGAGGCAU
rnacentral:rRNA from 1 species